ACUAAAAUUAUGACCCAGGGCAGUCUAGUUUCAAGCCAUUGUAGUAUGAACCACAAUUGGAUGAUAUGAAAUGGGUGAUAUGAUAUAUCACAUUGUAGCUAAAUAUGUACUAUAUUUAAGACUACAAUAAGAUUAGCACCUUUCACAUAUUUUGUAUAUCAUUUCAUAAGAAUCAACCAAAGAAUAUACAUAACAAAUGUACAUGUUAUUAUUAUACUCCAACAGUAUGAUUCAAAUUAAAUAAAGAGCGUCGAUAGCAUAUGAUUACUUAGAAUUAUUAGAAUGAAGUAAUUACAAAGAUCAAUUGUAAAAUGAAAAGAUUUUGCGGUAUACAUUAAAAUAACCCGGUUAGAAUAGUUUAUAAUCAUAAUAAAACAAAUAUUUGAAUGUACACAAUGGAAGUGCUUGAUCUACUAAUUUUAAGGCACAAUUCAAAGCAGUAUAAUUACAAGGUUGCAAACAUACACAUGUAUAUAAUACAAGUGAAAGUCAUAUGUGAGGUAGUCACUAUGUUAACACCAUAAUUGGUAAACAUGCAAUAAUAAGAAAAUAAAUGUUGAAAAGAAAACUGUGAAUAUACUAUACAUGAAAUGGCUUAUUACAUUCUACUGACAGAUAUACAACUCGAUUCUAUUUAUACAACUAGCAUUUUCUGCCGUUUUCUCCUGGUGUAAACUUUAAAAGGCACACUUUAAAUGUUGUUACCGAUAAUAUUGUUCAGUCAUGACCAUACAUGAAAUGGCUUAUUACAUUCUAUGGAUAGAGAUACAACUUAUAACAACAUAAUUUCAAAUUUUGACAUGGAAAAUAAAUAUAAAUAAGAAGCCUUGCAAGAGAAUGGCGGCAAAGUCCACCAUGAACCAUGCAAAUGUGUCGCAGCAGUAUGAGGCACAGGGUCGCACAGAAGAUAAACAAUCAAAGUGCCAAUUUAUUUAUCGACGUCAUUUCAACACGUGGCAAAGCGCUAAAAUUCGUUUGAAUAUUUCUCUUGAGAAAACAACAACACCGCGAUGAGGGCGAACUUAACUGUGAAUCGUAGGGUCGGCUUAUAUGUGAUUUUUAUAAAAUCGCAGUUUCAAAACAGUUUUUCAUGGAGUCGGCUUAUAUACACGACCGUCGUAUAAACGAGAAUAUGUGGUAAGUUAUUGUUCACAGUUUAGGUAUGUGGGUUCAGGUAUGUGGGAAUUUUGAUAAAAAAUGAAAAUGUAGGCAGAUUAGCACAAGUAUUUGCAAAGUGUGUGUACCAGGUAUAAAUAACAAUUUAUACACAUAUCCACAUCAGUAUCCAAUUUAAAAUGGUACUUAUUGGCUUUACAAUUAAUAUUUGGAUAUGAUGUGUUUCAUGAACUCAGUUUUAAAUUUUCUAUAUGAAAAUGUUUUGAAAAUGUCAGGAAUGUCAUUCCAAAUUUUGGGUCCCAUGAUUCUGAUUGAAUUUUGAGCAAAUUUAGAAUUUGUUCGAGUAAUAAAAAAUGCACCCUUAGAAGCAGAGCGAGUGUUAUAAGAAUGCACAGAACUGCAGUCGGUAAAAUACGAAAUAAAUGCCUCUGGUAACAUAUUAUGUCUGAAUUGGUACAUCAAUUUAGCAACUUCAUAAAUAAAUACAUCGUUUAUUUUUAGAAUAUACAAACUCUUGUAAAUGGGGCUCAUACUAUGACGCAAGGGAGUAUUAGUCAUAACUCGAAGAGCUCUAUUUUGUAGAACAGAAAGAGCAUUAAGUCUAAUCUUAUUUGCGGAACCCCAUGCCACUAUUCCAUACUGUAAGUGAGAAAAAAAGAGAGAGAAAUAAACAGUGCGCAUGAUUUUUUUAGGAAUCAACCUUUUUAGUCUUGUCAUUACUCCAACAGCUCUAGACAGUUUCAGUUUAAGGGAGUUGAUGUGGUCAUCCCAUUUAAGCCUAUUAUCAAUGAAUAUACCAAGGUAUUUAAUAGAGUCGCGUACUUUCAAACUGACCAUUUAGAGUGAAAUUAGGACCAGGUGCAUGUUUAUUUAUAUUACAAGGAUGAUUAAUUAAUAGAACUUGUGUUUUCUCAGGAUUUAUAGUUAAUUUAUUAGAUUUCAUCCACUGGGAGACAUUUAGUAGGUUUUGUUCAACUUGACUGGUCAAAUCAAUAACACUGGAGGAUAUUGACGUUGUGCUCGUGUCGUCAGCAAAAAGUUUGACAAUUGCUGAAGUAGUGUUCACCACAUCAUUAAUAUAAACAAGGAACAGAGUCGGGCCAAGAACUGAGCCCUGGGGCACGCCGACAGAAACAAGUUCAUGAGGUGAUUCAUUGGCAGAGAAUGAGACAAAUUGAUAGCGAUUGCGCAGAAAAUUUUGAAGGCGACUCAGCAUCAACUUUUCAAAAACAAUAGAGAGACAUGACAGUAUGGAAAUGGGUCGAUAAUUGGAUACCUCGUCCUUUUUUCCAGAUUUAUAUACAGGAACAACUCUGGCAACUUUAAGAUGGUCUGGAAAUACACCAUAAAGCACAGAGUAAUUGAAGAGUUUACAGAGUAUGGGACUUAUUGUACUGCAGAGAAGUUUUAUGAGAUAAGCUGGUAAUUGAUCGUAUCCAGUUGCUUUGUUUGUUUUUAAAGAAUUAAUAAUGUUUACUACUUCAUUUAAUGAGGCAUCUUCCAUGAACAUGGACGACUUAUUUGGAGCACUCAUGAAUUUCAGGUGAUCAUGAUCACUUACAUUGUGAAAAGCAGAAGAUAAGGUUUGUCCAAUCUGAGAAAAAUAGCUAUUGAACAUAUAUGAAAUUUUAGCACUAUCAUGAACAACCUCCCCUGAUGCUGGUCAAUUAAUCUUUGCGUAACAUUAUUAUUAGUUUUUGAAUUUAUUAAUGAAUUAAUUGUAUACCAAGUCUUUUUUGGGUCAUUUUAUUUUUUUCAAAGCGUUUCGCAAAAUAUAUCUCUUUGGCUUUCUUUUUCAAGUGGCAUAAUUUGUUUGCGUAUCUCUUAUAGUGCUGUUUUUGUUCAAUGGAUCCGUUAAUAAAGUGCGUUUUAUGCAA